ACGGGAGGCAGCAGUGGGGAAUAUUGGACAAUGGGGGAAACCCUGAUCCAGCGACGCCGCGUGAGUGAAGAAGUAUUUCGGUAUGUAAAGCUCUAUCAGCAAGGAAGAAAAUGACGGUACUUGACUAAGAAGCUCCGGCUAAAUACGUGCCAGCAGCCGCGGUAAUACGUAUGGAGCAAGCGUUAUCCGGAUUUACUGGGUGUAAAGGGAGCGUAGACGGCAAAGCAAGUCUGAAGUGAAAUCCCGGGGCUCAACCCCGGAACUGCUUUGGAAACUGUUUAGCUAGAGUGCAGGAGAGGUAAGCGGAAUUCCUAGUGUAGCGGUGAAAUGCGUAGAGAUCAGGAAGAACACCGAUGGCGAAGGCAGCUUGCUGGGGACUUAUCGACGCUCAUGCUCGAAAGUGCGGGUAGCAAACAGGAUUAGAUACCCUGGUA
rnacentral:rRNA from 1 species